UAGAGAUUAAGAGAAAAGAAGAUAAUUUAUAUAAUAUUUUUAAUAAUUAUUUCAUUUAAUUAACAUCCUCGUAGAGUACAUAGCCAUAACUACAAAGUCCAUGAAUUUAAAUAAAAACAAAAAUUAAAUAAGUUAUUAGGUGCCAAUAUCAUUAAUAAGGACAACUUAUUGAAUAUUAUAGUAAGACAAAUCUAUACUCUAUUGAAUUGUCAUUAUCAUAUGUGGAGUCACUCAACCACAAAUACAAUAUUUGAAAGCACAAAAAGGUCUCAAAGGAGGUUCACAAUCACUUGUUGGACAAUCAGCAAGAACAAAACAUGUACGACGUUCCGCUGCUGUAAUGAAAAAAAGAAAGAAUAGAAAUUUAUAUUACUAAAAUAGAAUAAAAUAUUAUGUACAGAAAAAAAUAGGAUAAAAUAUUAUGUAUAGAAAAAUAAAAAAAUUUAAAAAGGAAAAAUGAUUUACCAUUAACGUUAAUUAUAACAAGAAAUAGAAAAAGAAAGAUGCUCAUAACAUGGACUAAGUUGAUAAUUUUAGCCAUAUUUUUACCCUUUGUAUGUAUGUAUUAGAUAGUGUAUUACUUUAUCACUUUAUGAUUUAUAAAUUUAGUGCUCUACUUACAUCAUUUAUAUAAUUUUUAAAAAUAGUUUUUUUUAAAAUUUUAAUAUUAUUAAUUGUCUCUUAAAGUAUAUCAAUGAUUUGUAUUUUUUUUUCCUUUUACACAUUUGAAAAGGAGGCCAUUCAAAACAUACAAUUCUUAAUAACUCAUUAUUAUACUUAUUAAUUUUUAUUAUUUAUAACCUUUCAUAUUAGAAAAGGAUGUGUAUAAUUUGUAAAAUGUAUGUGUAUAAUUUGUCGCAUAUGUUAGCACGGUCUAGAUUCUAUCUUACCUAUUGUAAUAAUAUAUUGAUAAAAAACUAUUAAGGGUGAGGAUGUUGUGGCCACCCAUAAGGAGAGACACCUUUCUACAGCCCGCUAUAUAUUGGGAUAAUCUCGUCUUUAAUGCCCCCUUUCAUCCCAUCAUGGAAAAUGUGGGAAAAGACACGUCUCGAUUAGAGGGAAUUUAUGCCCAUGAACCUCUAUAAAUUUCUGACCUCUAGCAUGAUGAAGAAUAGUUGAUCACAUACUCAGAAUACCUAAAGAAUACCAUAGUGAGUAAGUCCUAACUCACAGAAAAUCAUUAAGGCCUAUAGUCAUCCUACCAAUAUAAGGGUAUCAUGCAUUCUACACUUUUUAACAAGUACAACUACAUUCAAGCCAUUAUUAAUUAAAAUUCAAAUAAUUUAAAUAUAAUUUGUUAACCACCGAAUAAUUGUGGCUAAUUUUUACAAAACCGAGUAAGAACCAGAGGCUAAAUAAAUAAUAACAUCUUCAACUAUGACGGGCUUUUUUAAAAACACAACCAUCUUAAAAUUACAUUAAUGUAAAACCUAUAAAAUCCAAUCAAGAAAUUAAAUACACUUAUUACUAUUAUAAGAAAUAAUCUUUUUAUUAUGCUAUUAAGGCUAACUUUGCAAAUAAUAGUCAAACAAUUUAUUACAGUAAACUUGCUUGUGUCAUUAGUAAGCAGAUCAAGGAUAUAUAAUAUUAGACUUAUAAUGACACGUAAAACUAUCACUAAUAUUAUUUUCAAAAUCAACUACAUGUGAUUUUUCAUUUGUAAUGUCAACUUCUUCAGAGAUGGUUUGGUCAUUUGUAAAAUCAAUUACUUGUAAAUUUUGUGGUAAGGAGAGUAGAUCAGACCUAUAAAAAACUAUAAGAGAAGUUAUUAAGAAAGAUAUCGAGAUUAAUGAUUUGAAUAUAAUCAUGGUUCUUUUACUAGUAAAAAAAUACAUGUGUGUGUUCCUUCUAUGCCAGGGGUACUCAAAGGUCAUUGUAGGUGUAUAAAAAACAACGAUGAUUAAGGCUUGUCCACGACAGUGAAAAGCUAUGUAUGAUGGUAAUUAUGGUGGUUUUAUGGACCUUCUCAUGUGAGGUGAAAGACAUUUCUACGAAAUGUUAUGCUUAGGUAUAAGUAUAUAUGGUGGUGUGAUUUGUAUCAGUUAAGAUCCGUACUCUUCUCCCUUUGGAGAGAGGUAUUUAUUGAGGCUUUUGAGCCUGGGGUUUUCUUGAAUAGGGUCACCACCCACCUAGUAAAUGGUGGACUGUUGAAUCCCUAUUUCAAAGGGGGGUGUGAGUCAAUUAAUGAUACAUAUGUCUCUCUAUCCCAAAAAUAUCUUAUCCCAUGAUUUCCAUUAUUAGGCGAUAAGAAAACCCUUACGCAAGGUGAUACCCUCUGUUGGACGACAUGUUGUCGUCACCUCUCCAGAGGCAGACUACAGUCAUCACCCAAGGCAAGUCCUUUUACAAAUAUAACACUACAUAGUCUCUCAAGUAUGAGGUCUUUGAUAGAAAAGGAAGUGUUUUUAUAUUGUGUGUCAAGAGGGUAUCUCGAGGACCUGCAUCUCUUGAGGCGUACUCCCUCAGGUGGGAGUUUAGUUAGCUAGAGGAAUUUAAGUCCCUCCUAAAAAGUUAUAUGUAGUAUGGAUGAUGAGACUAUAAGUAUCUUAGGAGAUUCGUUAGACCUGUCAAUCAGGACUUCUAUCAAGCCUUCAUAUAAGACUUGUGAUUAAGUCUCUUAUGAGAGACUUCAAUCGUGCCACUUAGGUUGAUCCCGCUUGAGGAAACGCUAAGUCCCUCAAGCAAGAUUUUAAUUAACUUGGGGAAUCUAUGUCCCUCAGGAGAAAUUAUAUGUAGCAUGGUUGAUGAGGAUAUAAGUCCAUCCGAUGAGGCAUUUGACCUCUUGGGAUGGACUUCUAUCAAGCCCUUAAAUAAGACUUGCAAUUAAAUCUCAUAGGCCAUAUUUCGGUCACGCCUUUUAGGCAUGAUUUCUAUUUCUAAUAUCUCCCAAGGAAAUAUGUAGUCCCUACGGAAAGAGCUUAAUUAGCAUGAGGAAUUUAAGUCCCUCGGGUGUGAGUUUAAUUAGCCUGGGGAAUCUAAGUCCCUCCGGUGAAGUUAUAUGUAGCCUGACUGAUAAGAUUAUAAGCCUUUUAGGCAAGGUGUUGGACCUCUCGAGCAUGACUUCUAUUAAGCCAUCAAACAAGAAUUGUGAUUAAGUCUCUUAGGCGUGAUUUUGGUCGCGCCUCUUAUGCAUGAUUUCCGAGUUUGAUCCCGCUUGAGGAAACACUAAGACCAUAAAGCCGAAGUUUAAUUAGGUGAGGGAAUCUAAGUCCCACAUGUGAGAGUUUAAUUAGCAUGGGGAAUUUAAGUCCCUCAGGAAAAGUUAUAUUUAGUCUGACUAAUAAGACUAUAAGUCCCUCAAGCAAGGCGGUGGACCUCUCGGACGAGACUUCUAGUAAGACCUCAGACAAGACUUACGAUUAAGUUUCUUAGACCAGACUUCAAUUGUGCCUCUUGUGCGUGAUUUCUAUGUUUGAUCAUGCGGGGGAAAUACUAAGUCCCUUAAGCGAGAUUUUAAUUAGCAUGGGGAAAAUAAGUCUCUUAGAUGAGAGUUUAAUUAGCCUAUGAAAUCUAGGUCCCUCAAGCGAAGUUAUAUGUAGCCUGGCUUAUAAGAUUAUAAGUCUCUCAAGCAAUAUGUUAGACCUCUUGAGCGGGACUUGUAUCAAGUCCUCAUACAAGACUUGCGAUUAAGUUUCUUAGGCAAGAUGAUAAGCCAUAAUUUGUGAGUUAUUACAUACCUUAGUUUUUCUUUAUUAUAAAGAUAUUUCAUUUUAAGCUGUUAUAUUUAGUUCAUUUUGGUUGUUUUAUAGUAUUUAGUGUUGGUGUAAGCCCUAGAGGCCAAUACAUUUUGGUACUUGUAUCGAAUAAUAAAAGGCAUUCUCUUUAUUAUGGUUGAUUAAUAAAGUCCCUGGAAUAGAUAGUCCGUUUAAUGUAUUAAUGUGACUAAUCAUGAGAAACAUUAAACAUAAGGACACUUCUCUAAAGUAUCCGUAGUUGAGCUUUGUGUGAAGUGGGAUAACAUUAAAGCAUUAAGACUAUUAUGUUGUGAGACUGAUGAUCACAUCUCAUGGAUCAUGGAUAAAGAGUAUCAAGUCUUAAACAUAGGUAUGAAUAUUAGGAGUAAUAUUAUACCGGAUUGACCCGCUAUGGAAUACUAUAUAGAAAGUUAUGCAAGGUGUCAUAAGUUAUUCUCAUGGUGAUAAUAGUGUAUUCCACUCUUCGACCUGAAACCACUAUGGACCCUAGAUGUAGAGUCGAGUGCUUUAUUGCUGAUCCAACGUUGUCCGUAACUGGAUAACCAUAAGACAGUUGAUGGGUACCACAAAGCAUGCUGAGGACAUGAGUGACCUAGAUGGAAUUUGCCCAUCCUGCAUAACAGGAUAAAUGUCUAUGGCCCCAAUAUUGAACUGGACAAGGAUGACACGGUCUAUGCCUUGUGUUCAAUAUAGACAUAAGGGCAAAAGGUAAUUAUACACAUAAGUAUUAUCACAGAAGGAAUUGUCAGAUCACAUGACAUUUUCGUGUCUUGGUAGCAGUGAUGUGUUGCUAGAUACCGCUCACUGUUUAUUAUGUUAAAUGCGUGAUUUAAAUAAGCAAAGUCACGAAAACCUACAGGGUCAACCACAAAGGACGGAUUGAUGAGAGAUAGGUAACUAAGGAAUACCGUAAGGUACGGUGCCCUUAAGUGAGUUAUAGAGCAUCGUAGGUACGAUGUAUUGAGUAGAAUACGAAAUAUGGUAAGUACAUGAGCUUAAGUGAUUUUGGCAUUUAUAAGAUAUGGGCCAAAAUACACUUAAGGCUUUAGCUUGAAGCCCACAUAAGUGGUUCUAUAAAUAGAACCUUGUGCAGAAGCAAAAUGGCGGUUGCAUUAUUUUCGUUUCUCACUCUCCUCUCUCACUCAACGCUUCAUUCGUACCAGGUAGCACGUAGAUUGAAGGAACCGUUCGUGUGGACUGAGUAGAGACGUUGUCAUCGUUCAACGUUCGUGAUCGUUUCGUGGAUCUGCAUCAAAGGUUUUGAUCGUCACAAGAGAUCUGCACCAAGGUUUCGAUCAUCACAAGAGGUAAAAUUUCUAUCACUGAUCAUGACCAUUCGUAAGGAUCUCUAAAGGAGAAAUUUUAUUUUCGGCUGCGUUUUGGACCGCAAUUCUCCUUCAGUGGUAUCAGAGCCACUUACGAAACCAUGACUCGGAUAGCUGUUUUAUUUUCUGUAUUAAUAUGAUUAAAAGACAGAAUGAAUCAAUUAAUUAAACGAGUAAUUAAAUUUGGCAUCAUGAGUGUACGAGUUGGAUGAUUGAUGUUGAUUAUGCUUCGGAAUCCGACAUAGUAUGGUAAGCAGCGAUACAUCGAUCGUCCAUAGGUUACGCAAUGACCGAUCAACUUAUAUAUGAUAUAAGUAAUCCUAAUCGCAAAAUACGGUAAGUUAUUGAUAUAGCUUCUGUUUCGUUCAUUCGAACACUAAAUGAUGUUUUCCUUUGACGAUCAUGGUCAUUUGCUUGGAAUCCGACAUUAGUAUGGUGAAGCAAUGACCUGUUGAUCAUCAUACUGAAUUAACAAUCGAGGUGUGUUGAACGGUCUGGAAAUUGGCGCAUUAGGGUUGGUGACGGCGCAAGUGUGUGCCGUCAGAGAGUUGUGAAUUUAAGGCUUUGGAACAGUCUUUUGACUAUUUCAAAAGUUCUGUUUAUUUUGGCCGUGACGCUCUGACAAGCCUGUAACGAGCGUAACAUGAUGGGCGUAGCGGUCGUCACGUGCUUUGUGACGGUCGUCAAUUCACAAGUCCAGAAAACUAGGCAUUUCUGUUUUUGGCCCUGUGACGGUCGUAACGUGUUUGUGUGACGGUCGUCACACUCACAUGGCCUGUGACGGUCGUCACAUGCCUGUGACGGUCGUCACACUCACAGAGUCAAAAUUUGGGUUUCUAUUUUUGUGCCUACGCAAGAGUUUGUGUUGAUGCAAAAACAAUGUCCAUUUCAAAUGAAUUGUUCAUUAAAAUUUUGACAGGGGCGCUGCCCCUCCAACCCGCAAGGGCGCUGCCCUGACCCCGUCCGCUGACCGGGCAGCGGAAACCCCGGCUAACUCUGCGUAGUGUGAUCGGUCGCCGAAAUUUUAUUUGGUUAAUUAAUUAAAGGAAUUAAAAUUUAAUAAUAACAAUGUGUUUAUUAUUUAUUGCCUUGUGGUGAUCAGUUAUUGGCCUUAGUUUGUCCUUUAUUUUGUUUGGGUUUAAAAUACGACAUGCGUGUCGUGUCUCUCUUUGAUGCUUAAUGUAACUUCUUUCUCAUCUCAAACCCUCGUAUGUAAAACGAGUUUCUUCUGGAAUGUAAUAUUAUGAAUAAAGAGAAGAAGAGACAUGUUAUGAAGAAGAGAGAUUUCAAUAUCAAAGAGGACAAUCUUGAAGAUCUUGCUUGGAAAGCUUAGAGAAGAAUUCAAUAUUAAAGGAGGACAACCUUGAAGAUCUUGCUUGGAGAAGCUUAGAUCGUUGUAGUUAGCUUAGGUUCUCAUUGGCUUGGGAGAAAAUCGCGCUAGGGCCAUGACUUUCAUUUGUUGUAUGUAUGUUGAUGCAUGUGAAUGUAUGUUUGCUGCAUGUGAGAGACGAUUUAUUGAUAAACAAGCCGGUGAGAUCAGUAUAAUUGCAAUUCCCUCAAAUUAAAUAUUAAGUUUAUGCUUUCCAAGUUUUAACACUCAUCAAGACUAGUAAUGGAUAAUGUAGGUUUCGCCUACGCGAGGUGCAUGAUCUAUAUAUUAGUAAGGUGCGAUGGGAUAAUUGUAAUAUCCAACUGUUAAAACAAUGGGUCAAACUUAACUAAACAAAUUAUAAUAUAUUAUAUGUGUUUGCUUUCCAAGUUUAGCACUCAUCAAGACUGGUAUCGGAUAUGUAGGUGUCGCUACGCGAGGUGCAUGUUUUGUAUUAGUAGGUGCGAUGGGAUAAUUGUAUAUCCAACUGCUAAAACGAUGAGUCAAACUUGAUUAUUUUUUCUUAUAUAUGUUUAGAAGCAAGAGUUGGGAAUAAUCCAUAUGAUGGAUUGGAAUAGAAGUUAUUCACCCAAUUGAAAUUUUCGAGAGUUGUAUGAGAAUACAAUUGGAAGGAGUUCCUACCAUAAUAACCUAGUUUGUUGUAAUCCGCCUACGCGGACUUAGAACGAAGUGAAAUAUGGAUCUCGACCCACUAGAAAAUCUUCCAACGGGAUUUUCCGAAUCAAAUGAUGAGGGUCAUUUGUUGAGUAAAAUAGUGGGAGAAAUAAUUAAAGGCCUGAUUAAAUAUGUCAAUGAUACUUAUAUUUUCAUUAUCCUUAUGUAGAUUACCAUGACAGCGAACACCUACAACAUCUUGAGAUCAAUCCUUGAUAAGGAAAUUGUCUGGGACAAAUUUUCUGGAUUGACACCGAAACCUGAGGAUUGUCCUCAAACAUAAUAGAAAGCUGUAUGUCUUGGAGACACCUGUUCCUGAAGAGGAACCUCCUAGUUCUGCACCUAAGGCAGAAAGAGAUGCUUAUAAGAAGCAUGUCGAUGUGCCAACGAAACUGCUUGUCUCAUGCUGGAUGUCAUGAACUCAGAGUGCAAAAGCAACAUGAGACACUGACAGCGUUCGAUAUGAUCGAACACAUGAAGAUGCUCUAUCAAGAGCAAGCAAGGCAUAAGGAGGUUUGAAGUUUCAAAACCCUUUUCAAGGCAAGUUAGCUGAGGGAGCCCCUAUAAGUCCCAUGUGCUCAAGAUGAUUGGGUAUAUGGAAAAGCUUGAAUGGUUGGGUUUUUCCUCGGAAAGGAACUUGCGACUGAUUUGGUCUUGCAAUCGUUGCCAGAUAGUUUCAGUCAAUUUGUCCUAAAUUUCAAUAUGAUUGAUAUGGACAAUCUCUCUCCUAACUGCUCGCCAUGUUAAGAAUUGCCGAGCAGAAUCUGAAGACAAAAGGAAGUCCAUUCUGAUGAUCGGAAAUGGAAGAGAUAGAACAAAAGGCCCACCAGGCAGGGUGAUAAGGGAAGGGCAAGGAAGUUGCCAAACCCAGACCCACUGUUACUGUUUUGAGGCCUAGUGGAGGCUAACAAAGGCAGGCACCUGCUUCCAUUGCGGUAAGACCGGACACUGGAAGAGAAACUGCCCAAAGUACUUGGAAGAUGACAAAAUCUCCAUUCACAGGAAAAGGUGAAAGAGCUAAUGAUCUUUUGGCCUCAUACAUACUGAUGUAUGUGGACCACUGAACUUCCAGCCAGAGGAGGUUUUCAGUACUUCAUUUAUCGAUGAUUUCAGUAGAUACGGUUGUGUGUAUUUAAUGAAACACAAAUCAAAGUCCUUUGAAAAGUUCAAGGAAUUCAAGAAUGAAGUACAAAAACCAACUAGGUAAGAAUAUUAAAACUCUUCGAUCAGAUCGAGGCGGUGGAUAUUUAAGCCUAAAGUUUGAUGACCAUCUGAAAGAGUGUGGGAUCUAUCCCAACUUAUCUCCUGGAACACCACAAUGGAAUGGUGUAUCUGAGAGAAGAAAUCGAACCCUGUUAGACAUGGCCGAUCCAUGAUGAGUCACGCCGAUCUUCCAAACUCCAUUUGGGGACAUGCACUAUUGACAGCUGCUUACACACUUAACCGUGUUCCAUCCAAAAAGGUUGAGAAGACACCAUAUGAGAUAUGGAGUGGUAAGAACCACAUAUGUCUUACUAAAGAUUUGGGUUGCGAGGUUUAUAUGAAACGACAAUUUCAACUAAGCUUGAGCCCAAAUCUGACAAAUGCUUAUUUGUGGGUAUCCUAAAGAAACAAAAGGUAUUACUUCUACAACCUUCUGAGGGGAAAAUGUUUGUCGCUCGAACCUGAGUUUUCCUAGAGGGAUUUUAUUUCAAAGGAACCAGUGGGAGGAAAGUAGAGCUUGAAGAAAUUCAAGAAUCACAAAGCAUGCACACGUAUGAGAAUUGGAGCAGGAAACACAAGUAGUUGUGUAAGAGCAACCUGCUCAAGUAGAACAAGACUGUGUAGGUCAGGCAGGAUACGUCACCUACCUGAGAUAUAUGGAUAUCUGAUCAAGGUGAUGUAUUACUCAUGGAUCAAGAUGAGCUUGUGACCUACUCAUGGAAUCUUCGUUUGAUGAAACAGUAAAACAAUAUGGAUUCAUCAAGAACGAAGAUGAGCCUUGUGUCUACAAGAAGGUUAGUGGGAGCAUGAUCGUAUUCCUGGUAUUAUAUGUAGAUGACAUAUUACUUAUUGGAAACGAUAUCCUACCCUGUAACAAGCAAAGUCUUGGGUGGGGAAAUGCUUAUCUAUGAAGGACCUAGGUGAAGCAGCCUAUAUAUUAGGAAUCAGAAUCUAUGAGAUAGAUCAUAAAAUGCUUGCCUAAGUCAUAAGCAUAGACAAGGUGCUGAGACGCUUUAAUAUGAAUGAUUCCAAUGGUAUGUGUUUUGCUGAAAUGGUGGCGCUGUGAGCUUGAAAAGUUCAAAGCAAAUACAGUUGCUGAUUCUACAACGAGGCCGAGUAUAUUGCUGCCUCAAAUGCAGAAAAGGGGUUGUUUGGAUCAAAAAGUUCAUUAGUGAACUGGCAUAGUCCCUAGCAUAUGGAUCCCAUUGGUCUCUAUUAUGAUAGCAAUGGUGCUAUUGCACAAGCCAAGGAGCCUAGAUCUCACAACGAUCCAAACACAUACUUAGCGUGUAUCAUCUCAUUCGAGAGAAUAGAUAAGAGGAGAUGUGUGAAAAUAUGUAAAGUACCUACACUUGACAAUACAGUUGACCACUGACAAAGCCUCUUGCGCAGCAGAAGCAUGAUGGCCAUACUAGAUCAAUGGGCAUACGGGGUAUGCCUGAUUGGCUCUAGUGCUAGUGGGAUUGUUGGUGUAAGCCCUAGAGGCCAAUACAUUUUGGUACUUGUAUCGAUAAUAAAGGCAUUCUCUUUAUUAUGGUGAUUGAUAAUAGUCCCUGGAAUAGAUAGUCCGUUUAUGUAUUAAGUUGUGACUUAAUCAUGAGAAACAUUACAUAAGGACACUAUUCCUAAAUAUCCGUAGUCGAGCUUUAGUGUGAAGUGGGAUAACAUUAAGCAUUAAGACUAUUAUGUUGUAGACUGAUGAUCACAUCUCAUGGAUCAUGGAUAAAGAGUUAUCAAGUCUUAAACAUACGGUAUGAAUAUUAGGAGUUAUUUAUACCGGAUUGACCCGCUAUGAGAAUACUAUAUAGAAAGUUUAUGCAAGGUGUCAUAAGUUAUUCUCAUGGUGAUAAAUAGUGUAUUCCACUCUUCGACCUGAAACCUAUUGGACCCUAGAUGUAGAGUCGAGUGCUUUAUGUCUAAUCCAACGUUGUCCGUACUGGAUAACCAUAAAGACAGUUGAUGGGUACUCCACAAAGCAUGCUGAGGGACAUGAGUGACCUAGAUGAAUUUGCCCAUCCUGCAUAACAGGAUAAAUGUCUAUGGGCCCAAUAUUGAACUGGACAAGGAUGACACGGUCUAUGCCUUGUGUUCAAUAUAGACAUAAGGGCAAAAGAGGUAAUUAUACACAUAAGUAUUAUCACAGAAGGAAUUGUCAAAUCACAUGACAUUUUCGUGUCUUGGGUAGCAGUGAUGUGUUGCUAGAUACGGCUCACUGUUUAUUAUGUUAAAUGCGUGAUUUAUAUAAUGUCAACGUCACGAAACCUACAGGGUCACACACAAAGGACGGAUUGAUGAGAGAAAGAGUAACUAAGGAAUACCGUAAGGUACGGUGCCCUAAGUGAGUUAUAGAGCAUCGUAAGGUACGAUGUACUUGAGUAGAAUACGAAAUGAGUAAGGUACCAUGAGCUUAAGUGAUUUUGGGCAUAUAAGAUAUGGGCCAAAAACACUUAAUGGGCUUUUAGCUUGAAGCCCCACCAAGUGGUUCUAUAAAUAGAACCCUUGUGUCAGAAGCAAAAAAAUUGGCGGUUGCAUUAUUUUCGUUUUCUCACUCCUCUCUCUCUUCUCACUCAAGCCUUCAUUCGUACCAGUAGCACUGAGAUUGAAGGAACUCGUUCGUGUGACUGAGUAGAGACGUUGUCAUCGUUCAACGUUCGUGAUCGUUUCGUGGAUCUGCAUCAAAGGUUUUGAUCGUCACAAGAGAUCUGCACCAAAGGUUUCGAUCAUCACAAGAGGUAAAUAUUCUAUCACUGAUCAUGACCAUUCGUAAGGAUCUCUAAAGGAGAAAUUUUAAUUUCCGCUGCGUUUUGGACCGCAAUUCUCCUUCAUUUAGCCUGGAGCACAAUAGGUGCUCCCUUUUGUUGGUUUAAAGUGUUUGUUGCUUGAUGAAAGGUUUACUCUGUCGAGCUAAGGCAAGAUUGCAGUGUUCAACAACUAGGAGCGCAAUCUGAAACAAAAAGGUGAACUAAACCAAAGAGGAAAAUGGAGAAAACAGUUGAACUCCUAGAGUAAUGUAGAAGGAUUGAUGUAUUGGAGGGAAUCUCUGAUGUGUAAGGAAGAAAAUUCAUUUGGAACAAGUGGAUAAGAUCAAGAGGCGCUAAAAGACAAAAGUUGGUACAAUUGCACGACCACCAUUCUGCGUGUUUUGCAUGAAAGAACAAUGUCGUUUGCACCCUAUUGUGGCAGUCUGCCUCAAGGUGCCUUGUCUCCCACAAAUGUUCCCUUGUACCUGAUAUCUUGCUUGUUAAGCAUAUGGAAUGAUGUGAAGGUGUUGAUUCUUGUACUAGGCUUGAUUUGAUUUUCUUAUUUUUGGCCCAUGAUCUAAGACAUCUCAAGAAACCCUAGUGAAGGCCUAUAAAUAGGCCCUGCUGAAGAUUGAGAAUUUUUUUUUAGCAUUAUUUCAUAAUAAAAUAUAGAAGAUAACAAUGUGAGGUCAGUGGAGAGAAAAGAGAGAGUUUCUUCUUCUCACCAUUUCCUAUACCAUCUACUGAGCCCUGGCAUGACUGGAGUCAUAUCUUGUUGAUUAUCCAUUUCAAGAAGUCUUCAAGUUACUCUUAGAUUUAUAUUUCUUUUUCAGCAUUUUUUUAAGUACAUAUCUUUUGAGAACCAUGUCUAUAGCUUGUACUUGGCUAAUCAUGAGCUAAACCUUUUAUAUGUUAAGUAAUGGAAAGUUAAUGUUAUGAUGUUUUUAUGUUAAGUGAUGCGUUGUUUAGAGCCUUGUUUUAUAUGUGUUAACUCGUUUACAAAUCUGACUCUUUGAGUGAUCAACUUAGGAAAAGAUAAAAGCUUGUUGUUGUGAGAGAUCCAACAACAAGGGAAUUUCAUCAAACAAUUUUAUUAAAUAAUCUUGAAUGAAAAAGAACCGUUGGAAUCUAGUAUUUCGGUGGAACCCCGAAUGAUUGAUCCCGAGGCUUAGAUCUUGUUCUCAUCAAACAUUCGUCAUUCACUUAUAAAAUACAUCCAACUAAUCGAACUCUUUUUCUCACCGCCAUGCGAUUGAUACAAAAAAAAUUUCAAUAACAAAAUAUAUCUCGUCUUAAGAUGAUACAAAGCAAUGUUUUAUCCAUAAUCGUUGAGUUCUGAUAAGUGACGUUUCCCGUGAAUGUUGAUUCGUAGAUCCAUUCAAUGUGAUGCAAACGCCCGCUCCUCACCUGUUUUGGGUAAAAUAAUAUUCUUUGUCGAUUAAUACAAGAUACCUUUCACUAAAAUCAACCAAUAUAUGUCUUGAAUUCUCUAUUGCAUCCGGAGAUAUAUAGGAGCAGUAUUGCGAAAUCUUGUCAGACCCAUUAAUAAAAAAAUCUUCUUUAGUCCUUUUCCCCAUAAUAAUAUAAAAAAAAUAGGUUUUCUCUCAUUAAUAAAAUUCAAAACAUUUAUCUUCUCUCUUUUUCUAUCCCAAAUAAGUAGAAUAUCGCAAACUAACAUAAUCUAACAUUCAAAUCGAUACUAACUAAACGGUUCCCAUCGAGUACAACAGACGUGGGGGUUGCUAAUACAUUCCUCUUGUGUAACUGACUCCUAAAUCCUGAUAUUGGUUGUGAUGACCAUAUCUUAUCCUUUCUUUUAGGGGUUUUAUCGAUAUUUUUCCUUUCCCUCUUUGGAAAUAAAUAAAAUUCGGUGGUGACUUUGUUCGGUCUUUCCCGUGAACGUGCGAUUGCUCUACGCGAGCGCCGUGUUCUCAUUUUUUGAGGUACGAUACUUACUCUUACAACAAGCUAUUUAUAUAUAAAUUUAUCAAUAAUAGGGCUCCGCAUAUUUAUUCUCCUUGGGUUGGUUUCGAAUGGAAUACUAAGAAAUUUGAAACUCCACAUUUUUUAACAUAAUGCGGUUUGUAUCAGUUUGAUUCGGUUUGCAAAAUACAAAUCACAAACUAAGCUGAAUCGUGCGGUUCUGUUGAAAACUGACUCAAACACAUUUGAACUAAAUGAUGUCCUUUUUCAAUUUUUGAUUCGAUUUAGUUAGCAGUUUUCUAUUGAAUGAGUUUGGUUUUAAACACCCCUAAUAUCAAUCAACUUUCUCAUAAUCUCUAGUCUCACUUGUACUCAAAUGUUAGAUAUCAAUCUGAAAUGGUUAUUAAUGAAUGCAGGUUUGAAGUGAAUGAAAGUGUUUGUUGAAGAUAACUAUUAAGAUUGAGAUACCAAUAUAAAACAAUAUAGAUUUGAGAGAUGUCAAUUGUAUUAUGGAAGUACCAUAUUAAUGUAUGCAAUGCAGACUUUGUGAAUGAAAAUGAGUGGAUAGUUAGGCGCAUCAAACUAAAACGACAUGAAUGAAGAUACAGAAAAAAUGCAAUGCAGAUGUAGAAAAAAAUGAAAAAGAUGAGUGGAAAUCGCCAUGCAUGCAUAUGCAUAAGAAAACUAGAGAUAGGUUGGAGUUUCGCUAUCUAGAGGUAGUGGUCCUUUUGAUUUUUAAUAUUUUUUAGUUGCAUUAAUGUGAAUCCGGGUUAUUAAGGAGGAACACUUUAUACAUUUUGAAAUGCAAAAAUAUAUUAAAUAUGCAUUAGUCUAUAGCAUAAGAAAAAGUAAGACGCGAUAUCUUCGAAACUAAGAGAAAAGAAGAUAAUUUAUAUGAUAAUUUUAAUACUUUAUUUAAUUUCAUUAACAUCCUCUUAGAGUACAAGCCAUAACUACAAGGUCCGAAAAUUUAAAUAAAAAUAAAAGUUAAAGAUAUUAUUAGAUACCAACAUCAUUAAUAAGGACAAUUUAUUGAAUAUUAUAGUAAGGCAAGUCUAUACUCUAUUGGAUCAUGUCAUCAUAUGUGGAGUCACUCAACCACAAAGACAAUAUUUGAAAGCACAAAAAGGUCUCGUAGGAGGUUCACAAUCACUUGUUGGACAAUCAGCAGGAGUGAAACAUGUACGACGUUCCGCUGCUGUAAUGAAAAAAGAGAAUAUAAAUAUAUUACUAAAAUAGGACAAAAUAUUAUGUACAAAAAAAUGGAAAUAAAUAAAUAAAAGGAAAAUGAUUUACCAUUAACAUUUAUUGUAACAAGAAAUAGAAAAAGAAAGAUGAUCAUAACAUGGACUAAGUUGAUAAUUUUAGUCAUAUUUUCCACCUUUUGUAUGUAUGUAUUAGAUAGAGUAUUACUUUCUUACUUUAUGAUUUAUAAAUUUAAUGCUCUACUUACAUCAUUUAUAUAGUUUUUUAUAAUAAAUUUUUUAAAUUUUAAUAUUGUUAAAUGUCUCUUAAGUAUAUCAAUGAGUUGUAUUUUUCCCCUCCCUUUUACACAUUUAAAAAGGAGGUCAUUGAAAAUAUACCAUUCUUAAUAAUGCAUUAUUAUUAUUAUAAAUUUUUUAAUUAUUUUAUAACCUUUCAUAAUAGAAAAGAGUAAAUUGCAAAAUAUUUUUAGUAACUAUUAAAAGUGUCUCUUUUUAAAGAUAAAUAGAAUAAGAAGAAUAGUAUUUUACAUAUGUUAUCGAAAAUUUGCUAAUUAGCCAUUGUCAAAAGCAUGGUAAUUAGGGAAAAAACGUGCAGAAUUAAAUUUAUCCAUGAUUUAGAAAACAAUAGACAAAAGUGGCGUUGCAAAAUUUUAGACAUGUUUAAAUUAUAAUUUAACCAUGACAAUUUAGAAUGUGAUAAAAAUAUAGGUCAUGUUUAUAACAUGGAAGAACAAUGUAUUAAUAAUUUCAAAUAUAUGUUUAGCCACAGUUUAAUUGUACCUAAAAUGCACACGUAUAAUUUCUCGCAUAUUUUGCUUAAGGUCUAAAUUCUAUCUUAGCUACUAUAGUGAUCUAUUUGUAAAGAUCUAUCAAGGACGAGGAAUGUUAUGGCCACCUGUAAGGGCCAACACCCUUCUACCACCUAUUGGUGAUCUCGCCGUUAGCGUCCUCUUUCACCCCAUCGUAAGAAAAGUGGAAAAAGACACAUCUCAAUUAGAGAGGAUUUAGAGUCAACAAACUAAAUUGAGCCUACCUAAAAAAGCAAGGAUUCAACGGUCUAUUACUAUAUGAUUAAGUGGACGGUUAUCAUUCCCAACAGACAUUAACUUCAUCCGCAUAAGCAUCUAUAAUAGCAUGAGGAAGAACAACCGAUAAGACACUCAGAAUACCUAGAGAAUAAAGAGCUUCUUACCUCAUGUGAGCUUUCUCUCUAUAUGUAUAGCCAAAACACCAUCAAACAGGAUCUCUCACCACUGUGAGUAAACCCUAAUUCAUAGAAAAUCACUAAGUCCUCUAGUCACCCCUACAAAUAUAAGAGUACCAAAUAUUAUGUACUUUUUGAACAUUGUUAAUUAAAAUUUAAACUAUUUAAAUAUAAUUUAUUAGCCACCGAAUAAUCAUGGAUAACUUUUUCAAAACCAACCAAAUACAAUAGGCUAAAUAAAUACCUUCAAUUAUGGCGGGAUUUCUAAAAAACAUAACCAGCUUAAUAUUAUACUAAUAUAAAACCUAUAAAAUUCAAACAAGACAUUAAAUACACUAACUACUAUCAAGGGAUAUUUCUAAAAAACAUAACCAGCUUAAUAUUAUACUAAUAUAAAACCUAUAAAAUUCAAACAAGACAUUAAAUACACUAACUACUAUCAAGGGAGUAAUAAAUAAUAUUUUUAUUAUACUAUUCAGGCUAACUUUACAAACAAUAGUCUAAUAAUUGAUUAUAUUUUCAUUUUACAAAUAUUUUGAUUGAUGUCAAAAUUAGAACACUUAGUAUUUGUAUAUAUAUUGAACUUUAUCCUAUGUGGCUAGAUGUGCAUUUAAACCUUAGGAUAAUUAAAAUCAUUUUCGAAAUGAUUUUACAAGUUAAAAUUAAGAUUUUAUGUGGAAAAACUAGAGUACAUGUCGACAAAUGUUGUUGAUUUUGCAAAAAUAAUAUCACUAUUCAGUUUAGGUUAACGCAUAAGGUCUUCAGGUCGACACGGAAGAAAAAAUGUUUCUAUAGGUCGACACAUAUGAUCUAGAGAUCGACACAUGCUGCUGCGUUUGAAAAAACACAACCUCUGACGCAUAAGUUUUUCAGAUCGACACGUAGAAGAAAAAAAUGCUAUUAUAGGUCGACACAUGUGAAUUAAAGGUUGACACAUACUGUUAGUAUUUCCAAACAUCUUUAUAUAUAUAAAUAUAUAUAUAUAUAUAUAUAUAUAUAUAUAUAUAUAUAUAUAUAUAUAUAUAUAUAUAUAUAUAUAUAUAUAUAUAUAUAUAUAUAUAUAUAUUCAUGCAUCUUUUUUAAAGUGAUGAAAACACAAACCAAUCGUCAUUAUCUUCAAUCUUUUUCUAUGCAUACACAUAAUAAUUUUUAUUGGAUGCUAUCUAGAUUCGGUUUGAUAAGGUCCAAUUUAGGAUUUGUAAAUCAAUUGGGUUGAGAUUACUUUGCGUGUUUCAUUAAUAAAAUCAAUUUGGGUUUUUCCUCCAAGAUCAAUUGUAAUUUGGGGUUUUUUGGCAUAAGAUUUUGCAAUUAGGAUUCAACUGAGUGAAAGCUUUGAAGAAAGAGGUUUCUGUCAAAGAAGUACGGAACUGGAGAAACAAAAUGGAAAUCUUGGACAUUUAAUCUUGCUUAAGAUCAAAGGAAGAGAAGAAGAUAUAAUCAACAUCAAAUUUCGGAUUUGGGGUUUUAAUUUCUAGUUUUCUCCUGUAUUCAAUAUUUUGCAAAGAUUAUAGAAUAUCUCAAUUCCAUUUGGAAUUGGGGGGGCAUACAUACCCAUAGUAAGGACAAUUGAGGAACUGCCUAAACAAAUUCUUGUGUGGUUCUCUCUCUCUCUCUCUCUCUCUCCUCUCUCUUCUCUAUAUAUAUAUAUAUUAUAUAUAUAUAUAUAUAUAUAUAAUAUAUAUAUAUAUAUAUAUAUAUGUGUGUGUGUGUGUGUGUGUGUGUGUGUGUGUGUGUGUGUGUGUGUAUGUGUGUGUGUAUGUCUGUGCGCGCGCGUGUGUGUUUGAUAAUUUAUUAAUAAUACUAAAGUCUGCAAAUUUUCAUAUAUUGAUAAUUCUUUUGGUGUUGAAAUAUUUCAAACUGUUUUUGUUAAGAUAGUUGCAAUCUAUAAACUUGCAAUUGGAUUUUCACACCAAAAACACAAAACAAAUCAGCUUGGUAUUUAUUGCACACAAAGUGUUUGACAAAUCUCCUUAGUUAAUUUUAUUUCUUAAUUUCAUUGGAAAUUGAUUAUCAAAGUGUAAAAUUGUUCAAACAUAAUUUUGAAAAACUUAUUGAUUUGUUUUCUCAUAAUUGUGGUACGUUAGUUUCAUUUCGUUAAAGUUUAAUACACAUAUAUGGUUCUUUCUAUAAUGGUUUGGGAUAUACGAGUGUUGAUCCGGAACCGCUUUUGCUUUCCAUAGAAAAUAUUUUAAAAACAAAAUUUUAAUCAACAAUUUUUUUUUCCGAUUUAUUCACCCCCCCUCUAGAUCUUUUCCCUCGUCUAGCAAGUGGUAUCAAGAACACCAAUUUAUCUUGUGUUUCAAAAUUGAUUAUUAUAUUAUGGCUCCCGAACAUAAAGGGGGGUAUAAUAUAGCACCCGUUUUCAAUGGAGAAAACUAUGAUUAUUAGAAGGAUUCUAUGCGUGUCGAUAUUAAUUCUAUUGAUAGGGAAAUAUGGAACACCAUCUAGAAUGGUCCUUUUGAAAUUAUUAUGACCAAUGUGCAUGGUGUUGUUGUACCUAAACCGAAAGCACAAUGGAUCGCAAAUGAUGAGAAAAAGUGGUUGCAUGAUUGGAAAGCAAUGAAUAUUCUCAUAUCCUCUUUAGGAGUUGAUGAAUGUUACCGUGUUUAUUAUUGUACAACCGCUAAAGCUAUGUGGGACUCAUUGUAAGUUUCCCAUGAUGGCAUAAAUGAGGUAAAACAAGCUAGAAUCAAUACUUUGAAUCAAGAGUUUGAACUUUUUCAUAUGAAGUACAGUGAAACCAUUGUCGAUAUGCAAAAAAGGUUCACUUACAUUGUAAACCAUUUGAUUGCACUUGGUAAGCCUGUUUCCAAUGAAAUUACUACUAACAAAAUUUUAAGAUGUAUUAAUAGGGAAUGGCAACUAAAGGUCACCACAAUCAAGGAAGUUAACAAUCUACUGACAUUAUAUAUUACUACUUUGUUUGGAAAGCUUGAAGAAUAUAAUAAAGAACUCAUUUGCUUGGAGAAGCAUGAGAAAAAGCUAAAGAAGGAGAAUAACAAGGAAAAUGAGGUAGACAAGAAGUCAAAUUCUAUUCUGGCUUCAAGAUCUAAGUCCUCUACUGUAGAGAAAAGUGAUAGUGGAACUAGUGAAGAGGAGUGUUCAAAUGAUAAAGAAAUGGGGUUGUUUGUUAGAAGGUACCAUAAGUAUAUUAAGAGAAAUGGAAUGAAGCAUUCCGAUAAGAAAAUCAUCAACUAUAUAAGCAAUCAAAUACCUCAAAGAAAGAUGAAAGUAAGAAGGAAAAAUAUAAAGUUUCAUGCAAUAAUUAUGGAAAAGCCGGUCAUUACAAGCCGGAUUGUCCAUUGCUUAAGAAAGAUAAUGGAAUGGGUGAACAAAAGAAGUCUAGUAAGCCUAAAAGAGCAUACAUCAGAUGGGGGUAAUGAUAGUGAAUCCUCCAAGGAGGUUAGCUCAAGUUAAAAUGAUGAAAUGGAAAAUAUUUUCCACGUGGCAAAUCACAAGAAGAAUAAUGUUGAAUCUAUUGGCUUCAUAGAGAAAAUGUGGUUUCUUGUCAGUGGAUGCUCAAGGAAUAUGACAGGUGAUAUUUUCCUAUUCAUUGACUUCACGACAAAGAUGAAGGACUUUGUGACAUGCAAAGAUAAUAAGAAUGGUCUAAUACUUGGUAAAUAUAGUGUAGGUAACCUCUUUUCUAUUAUUAUCUUUAAUGUUAUACUUGUUGAAGGCCUUAAACAUAAUCUACUUAGCAUUAGUCAACUACGAGAUAAAGACUAUAAAAUAACUUUCACAAAUAGGUUUUGCAUGAUUGAACAUAAUAAAAAGAAAUAAUGCUUAUUUAAUGGCUUGAGGGUAAAUAAUAUCUAUAUGCUUAACUUGGAUGAUGUAUCUUUGAUAAGUACUAAGUGUUUAGUAACCAUGAGUGAAGACUCUUGGUUAUGGCAUAGACACUUAGACCAUGUCAACUUUGAAUCACUAAACAAAGCGGUCUCAAAUGAUCUAGUUAUUGGUCUACAUAAAAUUAAAAUUUCAAAAGACCACUUAUGUGGUACAUGCCAAAUGGGAAAGCAAACACGAGUCUCUUUUAAAUGUAAAAAUGUUGUUUCAACUUCUAGACCUCUUGAGCUUCUCCAUAAGUAUCUUUUUGGUCCCUCAAUGACUAAAAGCUUAGGUGGUAAUUACUAUGGUUUUGUUAUUGUAGAUUAUUAUUAUAGAUUUUGUUGGACCAUCUUCUUGCGUAGUAAAGAUGAGACUUUUUUGGCUUUCACACGUUGUGCAAAGUUGUCACAAAAUAAAAUGAGUUUAAACUUAGUUUCAAAAUGAAGCAAUCAUGGACGUGAAUUUGAAAACCACCUCUUUUAAGAUUAUUGUGAUAAACACGUCAUUGAACAUAAUUUUUCCACCCCAAGGACUCCACAAUAAAUUGGUUUGGUGCAGCGCAAAAACCAAAUUUUAGAGGAGUUGGCAUGAACUAUGAUCAAUGAGAAUAGUCUACCUAAACAUUUUUGGGCCUAUGCGAUAAGCAUGGCAUGUUACGUUUUAAAUAGGAUACUUAUAUGUCCUAUUUAAAAAAAACACCUUAUGAACAUCUCAAAGGUAGAAAACUGUAUUUAUCACAUCUACAUAUCUUUAGAUCUAAGUGUUUUGUAUUGAAUAAUGGUAAGGACAACCUUGGAUAAUAUGAUUCGAAAGUUGACAAAGGUAUCUUUGUUGGAUACUCUUAGUCAAGCAAAGCAUAUAGAGU
rnacentral:lncRNA from 1 species